GUUUAUUUAUAGUUUAUGGCUGAAAAGUAUACUUAGGAAGAAAUGAAAAUCCUUUAUAAUGUUUGUCCUGAAAACUUAAAUCUUUUUAAUCAUGUGUACAAUUAGGGCAGGCAAAACAAUUUUUGUGUUAUGCCCUUGAAUAGUUCUUGCUCACCAGUCAUUUAAAUUGUGUAGCUUUAACUUCAGUUCCUGUCAUCACACAUUAGGAUGAAGAUGUGUGAUGGAUCUACCCAAGCAAGGCACUGUAGAACAUGUCGCACUGUUCUGCCACUGAGCAGAUGAGAAGCUGGGUAUUCAUCCACCACUGUCCAACUGUCAUUGACUGAAUGCUGUUUCCAGAAGGACUCACUCUCUUACUUUGCAUGGCUUUUUUCAGGAUCUUCUGUGAGCUCAGCUUCUCCGGCUGGAAGUGCCAGGGAAUUACAUCACCAUAUUCCUUCUUUUGCUGGCGCUGCUGGGGCUUGGAUGAAUCUGGAAACCAUCAUUCUCAGCAAACUAACACAAGAACAGAAAGCCAAACACCGAAUGUUCUCACUCAUUGGUGGGUGUUGAACAACGAGAACAUGUGGACUCAAGAGAGGAGCAUCACACACUGGGGGCAGUUGAGGAAGAUAUUGGAAAUACUUCUCUACCGCUCGGGAAACUUGUUCAGAGUACAAUUCCCAUAG
rnacentral:lncRNA from 1 species